rnacentral:rRNA from 1 species
GCUAUCUGCAGUCGAGGGGCAGCAGGGUCUGUAACACUACACAUGCUGCGCGCACCGCGCAAACAGUGUGCGGAACACAAUACACUCACCGUUCCAUUAAAGAUGAGGGGAUAGCCCGGGGAAACCCGUGAUUAAUACCCCUCUAACAUAGGUGAAGUGGCAUCGCUUUACUGUUAUAGCAGCAAUGCAGCUUGAAGAUGGGUGUGCGACUGAUUAGUGCAGGUUGGCGGGGUAACGGCCCACCAUACCUACCAUCAUCUAACUGGUGUGAGAGCACGACCAGUCACACGGGCACUGAGACACGGGCCCGACUCCUACGGGAGGCAACAUUAAGGAAUAUUGGUCAAUGGACGAAAGUCUGAACCAGCCAUGCCACGUGGAGGAUGAAGGUCCUCUGGAUUGUAAACUUCUUUUACCUGGGAAGAAACCCACACAAUUCUUUUGUGGUUGACGGUACCAGAGUGAAUAAGCACCGGCUAACUCCGUGCCAGCAGCCGCGGUAAUACGGAGGGUGCAAGCGUUAUCCUGAUUCACUGGGUUUAAAGGGUGCGUAGGUGGGUUGGUAAGUCAGUGGUGAAAUCUCCAUGCUUAACUUGAUAAACUGCCAUUGAUACUAUCAAUCUUGAAUACCGAGGAGGUCAGCAUGAAUAUGUCAUGUAGCGAUGAAAUGCUUAUAGAUGACAUACAACACCAAUUGCGAAGGCAGCUGGCUACGCGAAUAUUGACACUGCAUGCACGAAAGCGUGAGGAUCAAACAUUGAUUACAUACCCUGGUAGUCCACGCCCUAAUCGAUGGAUACUCUACAUACACGCAUAUACAUGUGUGUCUGAUCAAAAGCAUUAAUUAUCCC